UACAGAGGUCCCAAGCGUUGUUCGGAUUCACUGGGCGUAAAGGGUGCGUAGGCGGGCUGCCGCGUCCGGGGUGAAAUCCCACGGCUCAACCGUGGAACGGCCUCGGAUACGGGCGGCCUCGAGGGGGGUAGGGGCAUCUGGAACUGUGAGUGGAGUGGUGAAAUGCGUUGAUAUUCACAGGAACUCCGGUGGCGAAGGCGAGGUGCUGGACCCCUUCUGACGCUGAGGCGCGAAAGCCAGGGGAGCGAACGGG
rnacentral:rRNA from 1 species